AGGAGGCGCUGACAUACAUAGGUUUAUUUACAAUAUUCUACCCGCUGCUAUGACUAAUAAGGUAGCAAACAAAUACAGCUAUGUAGGGCACAAGAAGAAGCAUGCAUUUAAAGAUUUGCCGUUGUGCACAGUUAUAUACAAAUCAGUGCGUCAUCUAUUUCCAUCAUCACAGGACGAAGAGAUUCGUUCAAGAAUCAGUAGCUGGUUAGAUCAGUCUGGCACAAGACUCAAGAGGGAAUCAGACACUGAAGCAGCCGGUUCCAAAAAAC